rnacentral:rRNA from 1 species
CCUACGGGAGGCUGCAGUGAGGAAUAUUGGUCAAUGGACGAGAGUCUGAACCAGCCAAGUAGCGUGAAGGAUGACUGCCCUAUGGGUUGUAAACUUCUUUUAUAUGGGAAUAAAACGUUCCACGUGUGGGAUUUUGUAUGUACCAUAUGACUAAGGAUCGGCUAACUCCGUGCCAGCAGCCGCGGUAAUACGGAGGAUCCGAGCGUUAUCCGGAUUUAUUGGGUUUAAAGGGAGCGUAGGUGGAUUGUUAAGUCAGUUGUGAAAGUUUGCGGCUCAACCGUAAAAUUGCAGUUGAAACUGGCAGUCUUGAGUACAGUAGAGGUGGGCGGAAUUCGUGGUGUAGCGGUGAAAUGCUUAGAUAUCACGAAGAACUCCGAUUGCGAAGGCAGUUCACUGGACUGCAACUGACACUGAGGCUCGAAAGUGUGGGUAUCAAACAGGAUUAGAUACCCUAGUAGUC